rnacentral:lncRNA from 1 species
GAGAAUUCAAGAUGAUGUUAGAGAGAUGACAGAGUCUAGGUUAGGGAGGGCCUGAGUCCUUGUAGACUCUGAGUACGGUGCUGAGCAGGGAAGAGACAGGCUCUGGCUUAGGGUUUAGAAGGAACACAGGCUACUGCGAUGAGGAUUGUCUGAAGGGGAACAAAGGCCAAGGUGGGGAGACCACUUAGAACUCUACUGCUCUACUUUAGGUGAAAUGUUAGAACUGGGUGAGCCGAAAACAUGCUCAGCAUCUGUGAGGAGGGGGCACAGAGGGAGCAAGGAUGGAUCCAGGGUUUUUAGUCUGAUCAACUGAAAGUCUGGAACAGCCAUUACUUAAAAUAAGGAAGUCUAAGGGAAGAAGAGAUUUAGGGGAGAAUAUCACGAAACUUGGUUUUAGGAUGGGUGCAUUCGAGAUGCAGAUUGCACAUCCAAGCCAAGAUGCCAAAUGUUGUUUGAAGCCGUGAGACUGAGUGAGAUCAUGGAGGAAGUGAAUGUAAAUAGAAAAGGGAAGAAGUCUGAAGACGGAGCCCUGAGACACUCCAUUGUAAACUGGAAGAUGAGGAAGAGCCAGCAAAGGAGACUGAGAAGGGGCAGCCAGUGAAGAUGGAGCCAGGGCUAGAGUAAGAGCCCCUUCUGGGAUGCUGUGACCCCCAAGUUUGAAGACUGCUGAUAACCCCAAUCUACGAAGACUAGCUAUGGAACUUCCUACACUGAGACAACUCCAGUGGAACUCUGAUAAUUAUCCUAAAAUAAGGAGGCUUCUUCAGUAGCCCUCGAAAUAUGUUCAAAUACAUGAUUACAUUUAUGUCCUUAAUAUUGCUAUUAGUUUCUGAUGUUAAUGUAAAAGUUGGGGAAAAAGUGGAAAAGUUAAAGCAGUGCAGGUUAAUUCAAUGCCAGAGUAACUUCUCAGAGGGUGUAUAUUCAGUGUGAACAAUUUUCAACAGAGAAAUGUCAACUUCUGGCCACAACGGCAACCAGUAAAAUGACUAUUUUUACUGUCUUAUCUAUUAAUGAAGAGGAGAUUGCAUAAUAUAGAUGAAGGAGCAUAGUAUUUGCAGGUGGAACGCCUAGCAGGGCUUGAGUCUCAACUCUGCUGCUUUUACUCUAAUUGACCGAGACAAGUCAUUUAAACUAAUAGAGCUUCAAUUUUCUCAUAUCUAAUGUAACAUAACAAUUCACAGCCUUUUACUUUGUAGUUAUCGUGAAGAUCUAAUCGCAGUGAAAUAUAUUUAUAUAUCUGUCUGCUGAU